rnacentral:lncRNA from 1 species
AUCACCCGGCCGCGCCCACCACGGAGACCCGGGCGAACUGACGACUCAGCCACCUGUCAGCCUCAAGUCCAGGAGGAAAUUCUGGGAAAGCUGUUUCACCGCUCGCAGUCCGAACAACUUAAUGAUCUCCCGAAUGGUGGGCAACGGGGGAAGGCGGAAAGUGCCGAGCUUCCCCGAGGCAGCCAUGAGAGACCCACAUACACAGCCACGCGCAGCGGCUGGAAAGGUGCACGGCGCGCAGGGGGUGGGACCUUGGAGAAGACUGCCCGCCUCUGAGGCCACCUGGUUGGAUGGAGAAACCUGCCGGAAAUGACGAAACUGACAGGAAGUCUGGAAGAAAUACCAGCAAGUACAGUCAUUCAACCUACCCAGGGUCACCAGCAAUGCAUCUAGAGAAGAUACCCCGAGUUCUUCACGUUUCAAGUUCCAAGUUCAGUAGCCAAGCUUCUCAAAUACUGUAUCAACUGAAAUUAUUUUAAGUUAAUUAACAUGUUCAUUUUGUGUUAUUUAAAUGUAUAGAAAUAUGAAAUUAGGUGUAGACUUAGAUCUACAGUUUUCAUAUGACUACUAAAAUCACACAAUAAAAAUAUGCAAACCCACCAAACCAACACACAUGGCUUUAUUAUUUUAUAAUAAAGAUGCCAUAAAAAUCACUA